rnacentral:rRNA from 1 species
GAUGAACGCUGGCGGCGUGCCUAACACAUGCAAGUCGAACGAAGCACCUUACCUGAUUCUUCGGAUGAGAGUUUGGUGACUGAGUGGCGGACGGGUGAGUAACGCGUGGGUAACCUGCCCUGUACAGGGGGAUAACAGCUGGAAACGGCUGCUAAUACCGCAUAAGCGCACGAGGAUACAUCACCUUGUUUGAACAACGCCGGUGGUACAGGAUGGGCCCGCGUCUGAUUAGCUGGUUGGCAGGGGAAAGGCCUACCAAGGCAACGAUCAGUAGCCGGUCAGAGAAGAUACACGGCAACAUUGGAACGGAGACACGAUCAGAAAUCCUACGGGAAGGAGCGGAGGGGUAUAGUACAAAAUGGGGGAGACUGUGAUGCAGCAACGGCGCGUAAGUGAAUAUGUAUUUCGGUAAGUAAAGCUCUAUCAACAGAGAAGCUAAUGACGGUACCUGAAUAAGAAGCGCCGGCUAAAUACGUG